rnacentral:tRNA from 1 species
GGGCUGGGGCUCAGCGGCAGAGCACUCACCUGGCAUGUAUGAGGCCCUGGGUUCGAUCCCCACCACCACA